CAUAGGUUAAUGAGGCGAACCGGGGGAACUGAAACAUCUAAGUACCCCGAGGAAAAGAAAUCAACCGAGAUUCCCCCAGUAGCGGCGAGCGAACGGGGAGGAGCCCAGAGCCUGAAUCAGUGUGUGUGUUAGUGGAAGCGUCUGGAAAGGCGCGCGAUACAGGGUGACAGCCCCGUACACAAAAAUGCACAUGCUGUGAGCUCGAUGAGUAGGGCGGGACACGUGGUAUCCUGUCUGAAUAUGGGGGGACCAUCCUCCAAGGCUAAAUACUCCUGACUGACCGAUAGUGAACCAGUACCGUGAGGGAAAGGCGAAAAGAACCCCGGCGAGGGGAGUGAAAAAGAACCUGAAACCGUGUACGUACAAGCAGUGGGAGCCUCUUAAUGGGGUGACUGCGUACCUUUUGUAUAAUGGGUCAGCGACUUAUAUUCUGUAGCAAGGUUAACCGAAUAGGGGAGCCGAAGGGAAACCGAGUCUUAACUGGGCGUUAAGUUGCAGGGUAUAGACCCGAAACCCGGUGAUCUAGCCAUGGGCAGGUUGAAGGUUGGGUAACACUAACUGGAGGACCGAACCGACUAAUGUUGAAAAAUUAGCGGAUGACUUGUGGCUGGG
rnacentral:rRNA from 1 species